rnacentral:rRNA from 1 species
AGAGUUUGAUCCUGGCUCAGAACGAACGCUGGCGGCAGGCCUAACACAUGCAAGUCGAACGCCCUCGCAAGAGGGAGUGGCAGACGGGUGAGCAACGCGUGGGAACAUACCCUUUGGUUCGGAAUAGCUCAGGGAAACUUGGAUUAAUACCGGAUACGCCUUAUGAGCGAUCAUGAGGGAAAGAUUUAUCGCCGAAGGAUUGGCCCGCGUCUGAUUAGCUAGUUGGCGGGGUAACGGCCCACCAAGGCGACGAUCAGUAGCUGGUCUGAGAGGAUGAUCAGCCACAUUGGGACUGAGACACGGCCCAAACUCCUACGGGAGGCAGCAGUGGGGAAUAUUGGACAAUGGGCGCAAGCCUGAUCCAGCCAUGCCGCGUGAGUGAUGAAGGCCUUAGGGUUGUAAAGCUCUUUUACCUGGGAAGAUAAUGACGGUACCAGGAGAAUAAGCCCCGGCUAACUUCGUGCCAGCAGCCGCGGUAAUACGAAGGGGGCUAGCGUUGUUCGGAUUUACUGGGCGUAAAGCGCACGUAGGCGGAUCUUUAAGUCAGGGGUGAAAUGCCGGGGCUCAACCCCGGAACGGCCUUUGAUACUGGGGAUCUCGAGCCCGGGAGAGGUGAGCGGAACUGCGAGUGUAGAGGUGAAAUUCGUAGAUAUUCGCAAGAACACCAGUGGCGAAGGCGGCUCACUGGCCCGGUACUGACGCUGAGGUGCGAAAGCGUGGGGAGCAAACAGGAUUAGAUACCCUGGUAGUCC